rnacentral:rRNA from 1 species
GACGAACGCUGGCGGCGUGCCUAAUACAUGCAAGUAGGACGCAGUUGCGAACGGGUGAGUAACGCGUAGGUAACUACCUAUUAGAGGGGGAUAACUAUUGGACACGAUAGCUAAUACCGCAUACUAGUAGAUGGACCUGCUUUGUAUUAGCUAGUAGGUAGGGUAAUGGCCUACCUAGGCAAUGAUACAUAGCCGACCUUGGAGGGGGGACGGCCAAACUGGGACUGGGGCACGGCCCAGAAUCCUACGGGAGGCAGCAGUAGGGAAACUUCGGCAAUGGGGGGAACCCUGACCGGGCAACGCCGCGUGAGUGAAGAAGGGUUUCGGAUCGUAAAGCUCUGUUGUUAAGGAAGCGGUACUUAACCAGAAAGGGACGGCUAACUACGUGCCAGCAGCCGCGGUAAUAC